rnacentral:rRNA from 1 species
GCCUGUCGGCUUGUCCGACAAGAUAUGAGACAAACGAGAGAACAACUUCUAACGGUGGAUCUCUUGGCUCGUGCAUCGAUGAAGAACGUUGCCAGUUGCGAUAAGUAGUGUGAAUUGCAGAAUGAAGUGAAUCAUCGAAUCUUUGAACGCAAAUUGCACUCUCUGGAUAUCCGGAGAGUAUGUCUGUCUGAGCGUCGUGUCAAAACUAAACACUCAGGUGUUGAUUGGGGGUUCUAGAGUCUCUGGCGAGGCUCUAGUCUCUCGAAGUGUCUGAGACCUGUGGCUCAGAACUACGCUGGCUGAACAGUCGUCUUAAUCCGCUUAACCGGCUGACAGUUAGAAAGUUGUGGGCGCUUCGCAGUCUCUGCUGCUUUGCUUUGUAAGCAAACGAGUACCAACUUGGACCUCAGAUCAGGCAAGACUACCCGCUGAAUUUAAGCAGGUCAAUAAGCGGAGGAAAUCGAAU